AAAAAGAAGCUGAAAGAAACUGAGAAAAAAGGGGGUUAAUAAAAAACCCUUAUUGAAAAAAAAUCCACUAAAUAGCUUUUUUCAAUACAAGUUUUUGAUCAAGCCCAUUUUUUCUCAGUUUCUUUCAGCUUCUUUUUGU